UUUGUUCUCCGGCCCGGCGGUGACAUGCGACAAUGCGCUGGUAAGGCGAUGACGAUGAGGAAGCCGGUGCGAAUCCGGCGCGGUCCCGCCACUGUCAUCGGGGAGUGAACCUCACUGCCACGGCUCGUGCGCCACGAGCUGGAAGGCGAGGGGAGCAGCGAUCCGAGAGCCAGGAUACUCACGUCGUCGCGACCUGCGAUUC
rnacentral:ncRNA from 2 species